rnacentral:rRNA from 1 species
UGCAGAAUCCCGUGAACCAUCGAGUCUUUGAAGGCAAGUUACACCCGAGGCUACCAGGCCAAGGGCAUGCCUACCUAGGUGUCA